rnacentral:rRNA from 1 species
AUUGAACGCUGGCGGCAUGCUUUACUCAUGCAAGUCGAACGGUAACAGGGAGCUUGCUCCGCUGACGAGUGGCGAACGGGUGAGUAAUAUAUCGGAACGUACCCAAGAGUGGGGGAUAACGUAGCGAAAGUUACGCUAAUACCGCAUACGAUCUAAGGAUGAAAGCAGGGGAUCUUCGGACCUUGUGCUCCUGGAGCGGCCGAUAUCUGAUUAGCUAGUUGGUGAGGUAAAGGCUCACCAAGGCGACGAUCAGUAGCUGGUCUGAGAGGACGACCAGCCACAAUGGAACUGAGACACGGUCCAGACUCCUACGGGAGGCAGCAGUGGGGAAUUUUGGACAAUGGGCGCAAGCCUGAUCCAGCAAUGCCGCGUGAGUGAAGAAGGCCUUCGGGUUGUAAAGCUCUUUUGUCAGGGAAGAAACGGGAGUGGCUAAUAUCCAUUCCUAAUGACGGUACCUGAAGAAUAAGCACCGGCUAACUACGUGCCAGCCGCCGCAGUAAUAC